rnacentral:rRNA from 1 species
CCUACGGGUGGCUGCAGUGGGGAAUAUUGGACAAUGGGCGAAAGCCUGAUCCAGCCAUGCCGCGUGUGUGAAGAAGGCCUUCGGGUUGUAAAGCACUUUCAGUGGGGAAGAAAGCCUUGGGGCUAAUACCCUCGAGGAAGGACAUCACCCACAGAAGAAGCACCGGCUAACUCCGUGCCAGCAGCCGCGGUAAUACGGAGGGUGCGAGCGUUAAUCGGAAUUACUGGGCGUAAAGCGCGCGUAGGCGGUCUGAUAAGCCGGUUGUGAAAGCCCCGGGCUCAACCUGGGAACGGCAUCCGGAACUGUCAGGCUAGAGUGCAGGAGAGGAAGGUAGAAUUCCCGGUGUAGCGGUGAAAUGCGUAGAGAUCGGGAGGAAUACCAGUGGCGAAGGCGGCCUUCUGGACUGACACUGACGCUGAGGUGCGAAAGCGUGGGUAGCAAACAGGAUUAGAUACCACAGUAGUC